UACAGAGGGUGCAAGCGUUGUUCGGAAUUACUGGGCGUAAAGCGCGUGUAGGCGGCCUUGUAAGUUGGAUGUGAAAGCCCUCGGCUCAACCGAGGAAGUGCAUCCAAUACUGCAGAGCUUGAGUGUCGGAGGGGGUGGCGGAAUUCCUGGUGUAGAGGUGAAAUUCGUAGAUAUCAGGAGGAACACCUGUGGCGAAGGCGGCCACCUGGACGACAACUGACGCUGAGACGCGAAAGCGUGGGUAGCAAACAGG
rnacentral:rRNA from 1 species